rnacentral:rRNA from 1 species
AAAGAAACCAACAGGGAUUGCCCUAGUAACGGCGAGUGAAGCGGCAACAGCUCAAAUUUGAAAUCUGGCCUCGGCCCGAGUUGUAAUUUGCAGAGGAAGCUUUAGGCGCGGCACCUUCUGAGUCCCCUGGAACGGGGCGCCAUAGAGGGUGAGAGCCCCGUAUAGUUGGAUGCCUAGCCUGUGUAAAGCUCCUUCGACGAGUCGAGUAGUUUGGGAAUGCUGCUCAAAAUGGGAGGUAAAUUUCUUCUAAAGCUAAAUACCGGCCAGAGACCGAUAGCGCACAAGUAGAGUGAUCGAAAGAUGAAAAGCACUUUGAAAAGAGGGUUAAAUAGCACGUGAAAUUGUUGAAAGGGAAGCGCUUGUGACCAGACUUGCGCCGGGCGGAUCAUCCGGUGUUCUCACCGGUGCACUCCGCCCGGCUCAGGCCAGCAUCGGUUCUCGCGGGGGGAUAAAGGUCUCGGGAACGUAGCUCCUCCGGGAGUGUUAUAGCCCGGGGCGUAAUGCCCUCGCGGGGACCGAGGUUCGCGCAUCUGCAAGGAUGCUGGCGUA